GGGGGCGAUCGGUUUCGACUGGAUCACUGCAGGUAGGGGUGGCGUGUCGUGGUUGAUCAGCCGGCCACGUAAAAAGCUGAUCAAAAACUAAUUGCCGAAAAGCAAUUCCAAAUGGCUGCCUAAUCAUGGCAACCCUGGUUUAGGAAUCCCCGCCUAAGGAGUCCGAAGACCAGUCAAAAAAUUGGGCUGGCGCCGAGUCAAUGUCCGCUACGUUCGGCGCGAGACAAGUGGUGGGCUAGCCGCGAGUAGGCUUUGUCUGUUGAGCCUACCAACGCGAAACUCAAUCGGCAGAAUACACACGUAGAGGCCUUUACUGAGGUAUCACAGGACGCGGGUUCAAUUCCCGCCGCCUCCA
rnacentral:tmRNA from 1 species